rnacentral:rRNA from 2 species
AAAGAUUAAGCCAUGCAUGUCUAAGUAUAAGCAAUUAUACAGCGAAACUGCGAAUGGCUCAUUAUAUAAGUUAUCGUUUAUUUGAUAGUACCUUACUACUUGGAUAACCGUGGUAAUUCUAGAGCUAAUACAUGCUAAAAAUCCCGACUUCGGAAGGGAUGUAUUUAUUAGAUUAAAAACCAAUGCCCUCCGGGGCUCACUGGUGAUUCAUGAUAACUUCUCGAAUCGCACGGCCUUGCGCCGGCGAUGGUUCAUUCAAAUUUCUUCCCUAUCAACUUUCGAUGUUUGGGUAUUGGCCAAACAUGGUUG